AUAUCAGCUGAUGAGUCUUUUAUUGCAUCAUCUGGGACGGACGCGUCUUUGUCGGGUGUUUAUUUUUGUUAUAAACACUUAAAAAAGUGUUACCGUCUUGGACUCCGAAAGUACUUAUUUUAUGCAGACACAAUCAGGAGGAUUAAAAGACUUAAAGAUCAGCAAGUCAAAAAGGCACAUUCUGUGUGAAAUACAGUUCUUACGAUCCAAUAAUUUCGUCGUAAAGCUCAAUGCAAACUCUUGAGCGAUGUGCACUUUUAGGCGGUCUUACCCUACCAGUCUAUUUACAAAUGCAAAAUUAACCGGUAAAUAUCAUAAUAAACCAACCAUUCGUAAGAAGGAUACAACAAUGACAACAAGAACUUAUUUCAACAACAAAUACUUACAAGUCAGUUAAAGACUAUUUACUGACACAAAAAAAAAAUCAACAAAUAAACAAGCGAUGGAUAUUAAAAAUUAAAAUAAAAAUGCUUUGCUCAAGAAAGGAAAAAGACGAAAAAAGGAAGGCAACAAAACACAUCAAGACCAACUAAACACAAUCACAUCCUCCUCCAUUAUUAAACAAUGUGCUCAGAAUUCACCUGGAUUCGCCAAAUUCUUCGCAGAUGAGAAGUUUAAGACGGCUCUCAU